CCUACGGGAGGCAGCAGUGGGGAAUAUUGCACAAUGGGGGAAACCCUGAUGCAGCGACGCCGCGUGAGCGAUGAAGUAUUUCGGUAUGUAAAGCUCUAUCAGCAGGGAAGAAAAUGACGGUACCUGAGUAAGAAGCUCCGGCUAACUACGUGCCAGCAGCCGCGGUAAUACGUAGGGGGCAAGCGUUAUCCGGAUUUACUGGGUGUAAAGGGAGCGUAGGCGGCGGGCCAAGCCAGAUGUGAAAGCCCGGGGCUCAACCCCGGGACUGCAUUGGGAACUGUGCGGCUAGAGUGCCGGAGAGGCAGGCGGAAUUCCUAGUGUAGCGGUGAAAUGCGUAGAUAUUAGGAGGAACACCAGUGGCGAAGGCGGCCUGCUGGACGAUGACUGACGUUGAGGCUCGAAAGCGUGGGGAGCAAACAGGAUUAGAUACCCUUGUAGUC
rnacentral:rRNA from 1 species